rnacentral:piRNA from 1 species
UCUAACAUUUGUGGAGUGCUUACUAUGAUC